rnacentral:rRNA from 1 species
GGGCGUUAAGUUGCAGGGUAUAGACCCGAAACCCGGUGAUCUAGCCAUGGGCAGGUUGAAGGUUGGGUAACACUAACUGGAGGACCGAACCGACUAAUGUUGAAAAAUUAGCGGAUGACUUGUGGCUGGGGGUGAAAGGCCAAUCAAACCGGGAGAUAGCUGGUUCUCCCCGAAAGCUAUUUAGGUAGCGCCUCGUGAACUCAUCUCCGGGGGUAGAGCACUGUUUCGGCUAGGGGGCCAUCCCGGCUUACCAACCCGAUGCAAACUGCGAAUACCGGAGAAUGUUAUCACGGGAGACACACGGCGGGUGCUAACGUCCGUCGUGAAGAGGGAAACAACCCAGACCGCCAGCUAAGGUCCCAAAGUCAUGGUUAAGUGGGAAACGAUGUGGGAAGGCACAGACAGCCAGGAUGUUGGCUUAGAAGCAGCCAUCAUUUAAAGAAAGCGUAAUAGCUCACUGGUCGAGUCGGCCUGCGCGGAAGAUGUAACGGGGCUAAACCAUGCACCGAAGCUGCGGCAGCGAC